rnacentral:rRNA from 1 species
GACGAACGCUGGCGGCGUGCUUAACACAUGCAAGUCGAACGGAAAGGCCCUGCUUUUGUGGGGUGCUCGAGUGGCGAACGGGUGAGUAACACGUGAGUAACCUGCCCUUGACUUUGGGAUAACUUCAGGAAACUGGGGCUAAUACCGGAUAGGAGCUCCUGCUGCAUGGUGGGGGUUGGAAAGUUUCGGCGGUUGGGGAUGGACUCGCGGCUUAUCAGCUUGUUGGUGGGGUAGUGGCUUACCAAGGCUUUGACGGGUAGCCGGCCUGAGAGGGUGACCGGCCACAUUGGGACUGAGAUACGGCCCAGUAUCCUACGGGAGGCAGCAGUGGGAAAUAUUGCACAAUGAGCGGAAGCCUGAUGCAGCAACGCCGCGUGCGGGAUGACGGCCUUCGGGUUGUAAACCGCUUUCGCCUGUGACGAAGCGUGAGUGACGGUAAUGGGUAAAGAAGCACCGGCUAACUACGUG